AUACGGAGGGUCCAAGCGUUAUCCGGAUUCAUUGGGUUUAAAGGGUGCGCAGGCGGGCUUGUAAGUCAGUGGUGAAAUACUGCCGCUUAACGGUAGAACUGCCAUUGAUACUGCAAGUCUUGAAUAUGGUUGAGGUAGGCGGAAUGUGUUGUGUAGCGGUGAAAUGCAUAGAUAUGACACAGAACGCCAAUUGCGAAGGCAGCUUACUAAGCCAUUAUUGACGCUGAGGCACGAAAGCGUGGGGAGCGAACAGGAUUAGAAACCCUUGUAGUCC
rnacentral:rRNA from 1 species